CUCACCUGCGCUAAAGUGAAGGAAAGUCCGUUUGAGUUUUCUCCACAGUAUCAAGGGGACAGAAAAGUUUAAAAUAGUGAGCAAUCACAUUGGUGUGACAAAAGGACAAUGGAUUACAAGAUCUGAGUGGAAAUAUUCAUUAAAAAAUGGAUUAUGACAAUGAAACAACAAAGGUUUUGUGCCUGACGAGGAAAAACUGUCCAUCUGUAAGUGUGAUCGAAAAUUAAGGCCCUUGCAGAUGUACACCACUAGAUGACAGCAUUGGUUAGUGGGGAAACGAAUGGCUAAGACUGAGUGUCAUUAAAUAAACAUUCUUGAUGCUUCUGUC